rnacentral:rRNA from 1 species
UACGGAGGGUGCGAGCGUUGUCCGGAAUCACUGGGCGUAAAGGGCGCGUAGGCGGCGCGGGUAGUCAUCGGUGAAAGUUCAGGGCUCAACUCUGAAUCGGCCGGUGAUACUCCCGUGCUCGAGCACUGUAGAGGCAGGUGGAAUUCCCGGUGUAGCGGUGGAAUGCGUAGAGAUCCGGAAGAACACCGGUGGCGAAGGCGGCCUGCUGGGCAGUAGCUGACGCUGAUGCGCGACAGCGUGGGGAGCAAACAGG